rnacentral:rRNA from 1 species
UACGUAGGCAGCAAGCGUUGUUCGGAAUUACUGGGCGUAAAGAGUGUGUAGGCGGUGCUCCAAGUCUGGUGUGAAAUCUCCCGGCUUAACUGGGAGGGUGCGCCGGAAACUGGAGUGCUCGAACGUGGGAGAGGAAAGCGGAAUUCCUGGUGUAGCGGUGAAAUGCGUAGAUAUCAGGAGGAACACCUGCGGUGUAGACGGCUUUCUGGACCAUUGUUGACGCUGAGACACGAAAGCGUGGGUAGCAAACAGG